rnacentral:tRNA from 1 species
AAGACGCUAGUAAAGUCAGCAAUUACACUGCCUUGUCGAGGCGGGAUCGUGGGUUGAACUCCCACGCGUCUUA